rnacentral:rRNA from 1 species
GGCUUGUUGAUUAUAAUUUCAGGUCUGGCCUGCCCAAUGAAGAAUUUAAUGGCCGCGGUAUUUUGACUGUGCAAAGGUAGCAUAAUCAUUAGUUUUUUAAUUGAAAGCUCGAAUGAAGGGUUAAAUGAAGAAAAUACUGUCUCUAUAAGAGUUUUUUAGAAGUUUAUUUUUAAGUAAAAAAGCUUAAAUUUGUAUGGAAGACGAGAAGACCCUAUAGAGUUUGAUAUAAAUAUUUUUUAAAGAUUUUAGAAUUUAUUAAUUUUUAAAUAAGUGAGAUUAUUUUAUUGGGGUGAUAAAAAAAUUUAGUGAACUUUUUUUUUAUUUGAUCAUAUAUUUAUGAAAAGUUGAUCCUGAAAUUUAGAUUAUAAGAAUAAAUUACCUUAGGGAUAACAGCGUAAUUUUUUUUAGAGUUCUUAUCGAAAAAAAAGAUUGCGACCUCGAUGUUGGAUUAAAAUGAAUUUCUGGUGAAGAAGCUAGAAAAUUAGGUCUGUUCGACCUUAAA